rnacentral:lncRNA from 1 species
GGGGAACAGGGACCUCUUAAAGAAGUGAUUCAAAGAUUACAGUCCAGGUGUUCUCUGUCUGGAGUUAUAAUUCACUUGUUAAUUUGAGAGAUGGUAUUUUUUUUUAGAUCUCCUGGUGUCAUCUGGAAAGUAUGAAUUCCUUCAUUCCUGUGGUAUGUGUGUGCAAAUAACUCUGCAUAGGGUGGGGAAAAAGGUAUUCCUGCCCCCUCCCAGAUUAGAGAGGGAGAUUAGGAAAGGGGAGGGAGAGAGGAAGAGAAAGAAACAUGUCCAUUUGAAAAAUAAGUCACAGUAAAGAGCAGCAAGGGCUAUAUUCAAGGCAUAAAUAUUUUGCUUUGUUCACUGCUGUAUCUCCAGUACCUAGCCCAACACAGACAAAAUAUUUUUAUUUUUAUUUUAUUGUUAUUGUUAUUGUUAAGCAGCACUCUGUGCAUUACCACUGUUACACUUCACCACUGUAAAUUUUUAUAUUUCAUUUCCAAGGAAAUGGGCAGUAACAUCUCCAAAAUGCUUCCUUGUGGACACAGGCAAAGUUGGGGGAAGUAACCUUAAGUCCUUGUCCUCUAUCAGGUGGAGCAUGGACAGUUAAGGAUUUUUAGCAUCAAAGCAGUACAGAAGUCCAUGGUUGCAGUUGGCAGGUGACUAUAACACAUACAUAGGGCAGGGAUCAUGCACAUGGACAACUGUGUCACAACGUGACUGUGUUCAGUUUCCUUUUUCUUAAAAUAGAGUGAUUGAUGGACCAUCCUGUACAGUUAAGGAAGAGAGGGUGGGAGUUCCCUGAAGCAAAAGGAGCUUUGGCAGUUGCUGGGAUGGUUCGCUAGGUCCUUCCCUUUACUCACAUAAACAGCUCCUCUGGUUUAGCACAAGGUAAACUCACCCCAUCUCCUAAUUCUUCAGCAGUUGACUCAACAAGCUCACCAGCCACUUGCAUCCUCAGCAUGGGAGGCAGUUUUCUCAGAGUACCAGACCUACCCCUAAAAAACCAGAGCAGGAGCUGCUCUUGGGUCCCUUUGUUGUCACCAAUUUGUUACCAAAAGCUUGGUCCUUGUCCCCAAUGCAAAACCAAUGAGGACACGGUUUUGAGAAAAAGGAAAAAGAAGUUUUAUUGCUUUGCUAGCAAAGGAGGAAACACAGGGGGCUCCUGUCCCAGAGGCUCUGAUUCUGUGUUGAGUUUUGAUAUCAUUUUUUUUAAAUUUCUAGGUCCCUGUUUGUCUUGUCAAUCUUUUUUACAACAC